rnacentral:lncRNA from 1 species
AGGUUUUUGAAAGUUGUUCAGUUUUUGAAAUCUUGUAUUAAUAUAUGCCGAGCGGCAUCUUAAGCGCUUCUAUAUUUGUUUAUCUUCAGUUUUUAUUAAUUUUUCUGCAUUUUAUUCCUUUUUCCGAAAUUAUUAGGCUUACCUAGUCAUACAAACUAGAUGUCGUCAGGACAGUUCACGGAGGGCGAACUUGAGUCGCGACACACAAAACUUGGUUCUUUUAUAUAAUUGAACCUAUAGUAUCUAUACAUUAUAGGGGGUCAAAAUGAAUUUUCCUAGCUUUCAGUGUUCUUAUUCUAAAGGAUGCCAUCUCCAAUUUAUCAAGUUGGAUAAGUUCUUCAAACUACUCUUGGGAGCCUUUCAUAGCUGGUGUACACCAGACGCCUUUUGUGUGUAUGAUUAAGUGCUGCCAAUUUAUUCGCUACUUUAUUUGCUUCAUGAAAACAAUAUUGCAGGACAAACUCUUUCUCCUCGAUUACCUGUUUGAUGGUGUCCACUGCUUGGAUCAUCCUCCAUGACGUCGUGGUCUUUCUAUUCAUACAUGAUGUUAGUAUCUGCAAAUCUGUCUCUACCUUGAUAUUAUCAAGAUCAUUUGCUUCACAUAAACCUUUAGCUUGUGCAUAUUUAUCCAUUAUAUGCACAAAUAUAAAUUAUCAUGCCAAACAUCUUUGUAAAGUUUAUAGAUCAUAUGCUUUCUGAUUAAUAAACAUUUAUUUUAGUAUUAACCACAUGCUAAAAUAACAAUUUUACUUUAAAAAUAAUAGUUAAAACUUAGGAUUAAAAAGAACAAACAUUUUUCUUCACCUUUGCAACCUUUUUUUUAGAGGAGCGAUCAUUUUAUUAACACUUUGAAUAGUUUUUAAAAAUUGCAUAAUUUAAGAUUUAAAAUAAUCUGAAUAAAAAUAUGCUGGAAAAAAAAAAGACACAUUGGUUAGUCAAGCAAAAUAAAGAAGAAGGGCUGAGAGCCGUGUGAGAAAUAGGAAAUUCAAGAGGACCAACAUGAUUACACACGUGGCAAUCUAGAAAGGCUGUUGAGGACAUGAAACGUGUAAAGUUGUUCAGCAAAAUUUUCCACAUGUCUACAACAAAAGUAAACUGUCACUUGUCUUCUAAGCAUAUUGGACAGCCAUUAAGCAGAGAUGUUGACCGGAUAACUCCCUAGCUAUUUUCUGUGCGGUCUUAGUCACAAUUCGUCCCUGUGAUGUGCUAAGUCAGCCUUUUCCCGAAAUAUUACCACAACAAAGCUAUGAGAAGCUAAGAAGAGAGCUUGCAAGAAUACUUUGUAUUAAACAAGAGAGAGCUUUAUACAAGUAUUGGAUUGCUUGAAUGUUUCUUGGAUGUAAAUGCCAAAUGCCUCUAGCCUAUUUAUAGUUGCUAGAGUCCCAAAUCAACGGCUAAGAUCUAUUCUAAUCAAUGGAUAAGAUCAAAGCUCUAGAGAAUUCUACAAAUCUCUACAAAUCUCUACACUUAGUAGAAUAUACAAGAGAAGUCUAGGUGGGUCUNNNNNNNNNNNNNNNNNNNNNNNNNNNNNNNNNNNNNNNNNNNNNNNNNNNNNNNNNNNNNNNNNNNNNNNNNNNNNNNNNNNNNNNNNNNUGGGUCUAGAAUCUUCCAUUGGAAGGAUCUAGACUUAGCUAGAGAAAUGCUGCCAUACGUGCGCCAAAUCGUUGCCUGCAUGUCGCCCAGUCAUCGUCCACAUGACAUAACCUCUUAGAAAAUGGAGGGGCGUGACACUAAGCUCCUCUCGUUUGUGGCUUCUAAAUAGGUCAUUAUCCGAUAAAAAUUUAAUAUGGUGAUUAAAUUUAAAAUUUGUUAUCAAGUUAAAUUUAUUUUUUUAAAAUUGAAUUUUGAGAAUGAACUUCACUUAAUCAGAAAUACUUUUCAAAUGAAAUAUUAAUUUAAAACGCUAUUUCAUUCUUCAACGUAUAUAUAACGAACCAAAAAUUAACACAUAUGUUAUUAUAUAAAUAAUAUUUCAAGUUGAAGUUGAAUAUAUAUAUAUAUAAAUUAACCGAACUCUUAAAUACUAUUUGCCAUUUCAAGUAAAUAUUGUCCAACACACACUAUAAAUCACAAGGUUUGAACAGGAUAUAUUUUUAUAAAAACUUAGAUUAUAAGAACUUCUUAAACUCAAAUAUUUAUAAUGGUUCGUGAUUAUCAAUCGUAUAUACUUUUAGGUCUAACCAAAUUUAAUAAUUAGGAAGAUAUACAAAUAUGGAUCCUACAAAUUUUACAAUAGAAUAAACAUCGGAUAUGAUGGAAAAGAAGAAGCUUUUCCUUUUCUACAUAUUUUAGUUUUCAAGAUUUUUUUUGUUUUCUUUAGCUAUCCUAAAAAUUUCUUAUAUGAUGCAACUUUGUAGCCUUCAUCCAGUAAUGAUCUUUAGUUUUAAUCUUUCUUUUUCCAAGCUUGUUUCGUCUUUGAAAUUCUGUAACAGCCUGAUUAGAUAACACUAUUAAUAUUUAGUGAUGGUAAUACUUGUAUGCCAUUUCUAAAUAAUACUUAAGUGAUCUCUUUAUAUUUAGUGAUGGUAAUACUUGUCCUUUAAUACAGUUAUUGAGCGCGUGAAGAUGGGUGCAAAUUGUGCAUGCUGAGGAGUGAGGAGAAAUGAAGAUGGGGCCUACUUUUCAACCUAAAAAUACAUGUGUGCUCAAAGGAUAUGAAACUUUUAACAUUGGACAAUAGCAAAAAGUUUUCAAAUGGAA